AGCUAUAUCGAUUUGUGAUCGAUGGGAAUCAAAGGAAGGUUCGUUGCGCGGCUACUGUGAAGUUCGUGAAGCGCAAUGGGAUAGGCAUCUGGUAAACUGGUAUGGGAAUAAAUUUUGUCCAACUUUAUAAAUCUGUUUUUGAGAAGUUUCAUUCCAUGAUGGUGUAGUUUCUGCAGCCAAUAUGCAAGGUUAUAGGAGACAGUGAAAGCAUGAAGAAAAAAGCAUUUAGUUCUUGAUAUGGUAUUGAGUUAAAUAUUGUAUCUCUGCAAGGAAGAAAAAGCCAUAUGAUCAUGCACAGUAAUAGUAGCAGACCUAAAAGAAGACAAAACAGAGCAGUGCUUGACUUCUUAGGGAUAGAGUGAGAGAGAAAUGGUGCUAAUAAAUUAAUGUCAAGUAAGGUUUGCAGUGUUUGAUUAAGUAGAAU